rnacentral:rRNA from 1 species
UACGUAGGGGGCAAGCGUUGUCCGGAAUCAUUGGGCGUAAAGAGCGUGUAGGCGGUCCUGUAAGUCCGCUGUGAAAGUCAGGGGCUCAACCCUUGAAUGCCGGUGGAUACUGCAGGACUAGAGUCCGGAAGAGGCGAGUGGAAUUCCUGGUGUAGCGGUGAAAUGCGCAGAUAUCAGGAGGAACACCGAUGGCGAAGGCAGCUCGCUGGGACGGUACUGACGCUGAGACGCGAAAGCGUGGGGAGCAAACAGG